AUGGAUCGGUUAAGUGAAUUGCCGGAUGAUAUUCUUGUUCCAAUUCUGUCAGUGUUGACAUUGAAAGAAGCAGGGAGGACAAGUGUUUUAUCUAAAAGGUGGAGAUAUCUGUGGACAUUUACGACUGGUAGCUUGGACUUUGAUGGGGAGGGAUUGGUUAAAACGUCUUUAAAAUUUAGAAGGCGUAGGUUUGUUAAAAUGGUGAACCGCAUAUUGAAAUUGCAACAAGGUCAUACUAUAGAUGAGUUUAGAGUUUGUUAUGAUGUGAAUGGAAUGAAAUUCAAGUCUGAUAUUGACAAUUGGAUAAGCUUUUCAUUGAGAAAGAAAGUUAAAAGGCUUCUGUUGGAGUUCAAACCUAUUUUGUUGGACUUUCGUUAUACUCUUACUAUGAAAUUUCUUCAUGAAAGCUCUUCAAAACUAUUAUGUGGGGAUUUCCUAACAGACCUCUGUUUGAGCAAUGUGGAAGUGACCGGAGAAGUUCUUGACCGUGUUUUAUCUAAUUGUCCAUCUAUCGAAGUGUUACGUGUGGAAGGCUCACAAUCUCUGGUGGAGUUUAAGCCUUCUUGCCCUUUGCUCAAGUUAAAGCAUUUAAUGAUAUCGUGCUGCAGCUUUCUUAGAAUUGUUGAAAUUUCUGCUAUAAAUCUUGUGUCAUUCAAAUAUUGUGGGAAGGUAACAAGGAUGCUUCUAGGGGAUGUUCCUAAUCUUGUUGAGAUGUAUCUGUCAUUUCAAUAUUCUGACAUUCUAGUUGACAAUCGUAUCCUGCCUUCGCAUUAUUUCCCUCAAUUGGAGACAGUUAUAAAUAAUCUUCUGGAGAUAUCUUUGUCAUUUCAGUAUUCUGACAUGCUAGACAAUAUUAUCCUGAAUUCAUGUUAUUUCACUCUACUGGAGACACUAGUUCUAGAAUUACCUGCUAUGGUAAGUGAUAAAAACACUUUCAUGUUUGCUAAUCCAGUUGUGUUUUCCCCCUAAUUUUAAGGUUCUUUAUAUGGUUCACAUGUUCAGAAAUUUAUUCACCUCCCCAAAUUUCCCGAAUUAAGAAUUCUCAAGCAAUUGAAAUUGGUUUUCUAUGCAAUUCAGGUUGACAGCCUCCAUUUUUGCUCUUCCUUGCUGAAUGCCUCCCCUGUAUUGCACAAAUUUACAAUCAAGGUAAAGAUGGUUACUUCAGAUGUUAAUUUUAAAGUUGUGGGAUUUAUUGUUGAAACAUUUUAUAAUGCACAUUUUCACUUAGCCUUAGUAUUAACACUGACUACAGUUUAUAUUAUGCAUGUGCAUUAUAUAACCACAUUUGCUCUGUUAUCAACUGCCUGCCUAUAAUUCCCACAUGAUUGUUUGUUGUUGUGUCUAAUAUUCUGAAAAAUGUACAACAAAAGUUAUUCCUAUACUCUGUUUUCAAACUCCUUUUUUGUUCCCUUGUACAGCCCUUACCAGGCAGUUUUUAUUGUGUUCUUUACUUUCUAGAGAGGCUAUCUAUUUGGUUCAAGUUACACAUGGUCUAGAUUUUAUCAAUGUUUAAUCACUGAAUAACUUUUUAUUGGAUGAAUUUUAUUGGCCAAUCCACCAUUAGAUUCCUUGAUUAUAUCCUCCAUGUUUGCAAAUAUCAAAGAGUUCAAUCACUAUAUUAUGCAAAAGAAUGUUCAAAUUUUAUGUUUUAUGUUCUUUACAAUUAUACACAUAGCAUGUGUUUAUGGAUUAGAUAAUAAAUAACAUUCACUUAACAUGAAAUUUGGCUUGUGUAACAUUACCAAAGAGUUACUCUAUGGUCAAUGUAUGACUUGGCUAACCCUAUAUAUAUGUGUGUGGGUGUUCCCCCCUUAUUGUGUUGUGAUGUCUGUGAAUUAAAUUAGUCCAUAGUGCACUUGCUAGUUGUGGAUCAUUCUCUCUAUCUCUAGAAUUAUAUAAUUUUCUGAGUGUUUGCUGCCAACAAAAUGAGUCCAUUCUUUAGUAGAUAGAAUUCAGUGUAAAGGAUAAACAUGAUAAGCUUAUUUCAAGUGCUAAUUGUUUUGUUGUUGUUGUAAAUGUUGUUUGGUUGAAUAUGGUAUAAUAGUAGAUGCCCCUAGAUUAGGAAAACUACUUUUGUUCAUAAGAAUAGAUCUCAGCACUCGUCUUUCCAGAUGUAAGAUUAAACUGUUUGUCUUAGUAUGCUUAUAUUUUCCUUCUAUUGUAAUGAUAUUCUAAAGUUCAUUUUGAAAUAAGCCGAUUACAAGCCUUUGAACCUAAAGCGGUCUCAAUUGACACAGGAGAUUAUCUACUUCUUUUGACUAGCAUAACACCUUUACUUCUUCCCUGUGACAGUUGAUAGGGCUUGAGGAUGGACCUGCGGAAGGAAACAGAACAGUGACGAGGGCUGAAUAUCCACACCAAUGCCUUAAGGUGUUUGAAUUGAUUGGUUUUGUUGGUUGUGGAAUUGACAUGGACCUUGCCAUGUACAUAAUCAACAAUGUUGUGUCGUUGGAGAAGAUUAUUAUUGAUACACGAAGUCCAGAUGUGGAGGAACUGCUACUUGAUUCUAGGGAUCAUGAGAAGAAUUUAGCAGCUAUUGCUUGUGCGAGGCAACUAGAAACAAGAUUACCUCUAGGGGUGGAAUUGGUCAUAUUGUCAUAGUUUUGUAAAAUAACCUUUUUAGUGACUAAUAAGUGAGCUUUGGGGAAAAAAUGAGUUUAGGUUCAACUUGGCAAGGUUAAGCACAUCAAUGUAUUGGUGGUGCAUAUCAUGCUGUGCAUUUUGGUUUUGGUGGUAUGUGUUAUUUUGCACAUCUGUGAAUGUGAUGAGAUUAUAGAUAUGCAAAGCAAAUUGAUAUUGAAGAAUUGGUAAAAAAAAACCAAAUGCCAGGGAAUGUUUCUCAUAUAUCCAAGAUGAGAUUAUAGGCUAGAAAUUUAUGUAAAUGUGUCUUUAAGAUCCUACAACUAAGCCUUAAGUGUAGGUUCAGAUUAAAUGGCAGCAAGUAUAAGUUGGCUGAAGCAAAUGAUGGUUUAUAAAUGAUGUCUUGAAGUCGAGCGCAUGACCUAUAAGUUAUCAAUAAGUCUGGAGGCACAACAGAUUUCACAAUACUAGCAAGAAUGCCAUCAUGCUUUCUGUCUAUGAGGAAGGAAAAUUCCAUGAAACCAAAGAAAGAAAAGUGCAGCACUACAUCUACACAUACACAGUAAAACACUAGCUAGCUACAAAAUUGUUUCACAAUACAAUGUGCAAGAACUGAAUCAUAAAGUUUAACACCAACCUCAUAAUAGCAAAUAUUCAACCGCACAAUGAGAACUAGAGAACCAAAAAUAUAUUUACUUGCAUUGAUUAGACAAGUCAUCUCGCUCUCAUCCUAAUCAACUCUCUCUGAUUAGCACUCCCUGCAACAAAGAUGAGCCUUAUGACUCAAAAGUAACAUGAGUUUUUAGUGCAACCUAUUUGGACUAAAGUCUAAAGGAUCCACUCCUAGUUGCAGGGACGGAGUGAAAAACCUUCCUUUAGGGGGCCUAUCUUAGGAGUUGGGUCAUUGGGAUGCACAAACAAUAUGGUGUGGGUGAAAACGACAUGCUUAGGUUGCCAAAACACUCACUGGGGUUUUUUUGUUUUUAUUGGUUCAAUUGCAUAAGUAGAUCAAAUUAAACAGCCAAAACUUUUCAAGUAUCAAUUCACUAGAUUACCUAUGCCUUCAUUUUGAACCAGGAUUUUACAAGCUUCUUUUCCCUAACAAUAAUAAAUAUUUUGAAAAUUUUUGGUUUGAAAUCCUGAAAAAUGAUGCUCAUAAUGGAAAUUGGAAACAAUAUACUACCACAAUUCAUCCAAGAUUUGGACACAAAAUCAAUGCAGAUCCAUGAUUGUCAAGCUUAAUUAAAAAAAUAAUGUCUAAGUAGAAGGAAUAUUCCACUCGCCAGAAAUCCAUUGGCUCACUAAUCCAAAUAACUCUCUCCAUGUGCAUAUGGACCCCUCCUGGCCAAUAAUAUACUGGUUGAACUAGUAUCCCAAUGACCUAACUCCUAAACCAAAUUAUUAAGGUAUAAUCUAGAUUUAAUAACCAUGUUAUGUAUGCUUUUCUUAUUUUUUAAUAAACGCUAGAAAAUAUAAAAAAAAAAAAAAAAAUGAUGUCCAAGUAAAAGGAAUACUCCACCCGUCAGAAGUCCAUUAGCUCACUAAUCCAAAUAACUCCCUUCAUGUGCAUGUGGACCCCUCUUGACCAAUGAUAUACUGGUUGAACCAGUAUUCCAAUGACUCAACUCCUAAACUAAAUUAUUAAGGUAUAAUCUAGAUUUAAUAAUGAUAUUAUGUAUGCUUUUCUUAUUUCUUAAUAAACACUAGAAAAUAUAAAAUGAAGGAUGCCAUAUAAUUGCAGCCAAAUAUUCACUAAAUAAUAAAUAUACUUAGCAAAAAUAAAAAUCUUUGCUAAAUGAAAUCCUAUUACAUAUCUUAAAAUUCUAUGAACAAAAUCAUAUCUCAAAUUCGAAAGUCAUAUUCUAUUCACAUAAAUAUCUUACUAGCUGCUUUAAUUUCAUGAAUUACAAUUUGAGCCAAGACUUAAAACUCUAUCUUAUCCUUAAGAAAAAAAAAAUAAAUAAAACUCUAUCUUUUUUUUUUUUUUGGAAACAAAAAUAAAACUCUAUCUUUAUUGAAAAGUACAACAUCAAUCUCAUUAUACUCCUCAGUCUUAAAAAAAAAAAUAAUGUAAUGGGCUAUAAGGAUAAUUUUGUUCAAAAUUACAAAACUUGUGGGUGAAAUUGACAUGACCCCGACCCCAGUUGCAAAAAAACUCACUAAGUUUUACUGUUUUACUAACUCAAUUACAUAAGUCAAAUUAAACAACAUCUAUUCAAAUACUAGGUUGAUCGUUUCUCAAAAAAAUAAAAAUUAUUAAGUUCAUCGAUUCAAAUUUUGCUAAUUAUGACUCAUAAAUAUGACACCAAAUUUUUAUACAUACAAUUCAAUUAAAUAAUUAAUUAUUGAAAAUGUGUAUUAAGCUCAUAAUAUUAAUAUUUAUUAUCGAUAAACAAGAUCAAAAUAUUAUUCUUCAGAAAAAAAAAUAAUAAUAAAGAAAAAAAUUUUAUUUUAUUAGUAUAAAUCUCUACUCCAUGAUGCUGACAUGGGCUUGCCCCCUUAUGUACACAAUAAUGAUUAAGAGCAGGACUUCUCUUCCUUUCGCAAACCCUAAUUCCAUCAAUUUCUCAUACACAAUCUAAUUCGAUCAAUAUGUAAGUAUUAAAAUUACUUAAUUCUCACACGCUUUUUAUUUAUUUAUUUAAUUUUUGUGUGUUAAUAUUCUGUUUGGUUGCUAAGAAAAUUGAAGGAAUACGAGGAAAAAAAAAAAGAGCUCACCAAUUAAACCAGAGGAUACGUUGAUGAUAGAGCUCUCUGUUUGUGAUUUUUUUUUUUUUUUUUUUUUUUUUUUUUUUUUAGAAUUUGAUGAUGAUGGAUUUUUUUUUUUUUUUUUUUUUUUUUUCACAGGUCACAGGAGGUGAUAGCGAGGGAAGCGAUAAAGCACGCUUUGAAGGCUCUGCGGAAGCGGCAUUUGCUCGAAGAAGGUGCUCAUGCUCCGGCUUUCAUCGCAAUUUCUGGGCCGAUCGCCUCUCAGGUACUCUUAUCUCUUGCAAAAUUGGUGAUUUUUUGGAAUUUUGAUUUUGUGCUGCUUGUGAACUUGCAAAUUGUUGAAAAAUGCACUCCAAAUGUUUGUUGAAUUGCUAAUUAGGGAAAGAUAGGAUAUGUCGAUUGUGAAACGCAAUGUUAGGCAAUCUUAGGUGAUAUAAACUGUUUAGCUCGUCAAGGGUGAAGGCCCCUAGACUACCAGGCAACUGGUCUGGCGGGUGGGGUUAGUUGCCUGUAGGUUUUUACUGGCUAGAGGCAAGUCCAAAGGGCUCUAAAAAAUUGAUCGAAUUACGGUUAUUUACAGUCCUGAUGUUUUGGGUUUUCGCAACUCGCAAUGUUACUUUGAUGAUGGUGCAUAAGUUAGUAAGUGUAGAAGUUGUUUUCCAAUGAAGAAAUAAGUUUGUGAAUUGCUUGGCUCUGUAGGCACUAUGACAUGGCCUCGAUGUAGUUUACACCUGAUAAUAAGUGACCAUAUUGGGAUUGAGUGUGUUAACCCUUCAUGGAGGAAUUUGGUGUGGCUAGAAAUGAAUACUUGCCAUUAUUUUUCUGGGCUCUUGAUUUCUAUGCAACUUUACAUUGCAACUUUAUAUUGUUUUGGUAAUUUUGAAUGUUGUGAGUGAGAUCCUUGGUGCGUGUUUGUUAAGGGUUCAGAAUGGAAAGAGAAAGCAGAAAAUUUGGAGUUGGAACUUCAGCAAUGUUACAAAGCUCAAUCUCGAUUGUCUGAGCAACUUGUGGUGGAGGUUGCUGAGUCCAGAGCUUCAAAAGCAUCGCUUCAAGAGAAAGAAGAAGGAAUCACUAAUCUGCAGACAGAGUUGACCCAAACAAGGUUACCUUUUGCACAUGUUUUAACCCACUAGACAGAUAGUUUGAAAUUUUCAGGCUUUUGUGGGAAUGGAUGAUUCCAACUCAGGUAUUUGCUGCAGGGACGAAUGCUCUCAAUUACAGGCAGACCUAGAAGAAAAAAUUAAAGCUUUAGAAUUGCUUGUGAGGGAGAACCAUCAACUUAAAGCAGAACUGGAAGAGAUGACUAAUAAAGCUAAGAAUGCUGAGGCUGAAAAUAAGAUGUUAGUUGAUCGCUGGAUGCUGCAGAAGAUGCAGGAUGCGGAACGACUCAAUGAGGUACUUCAUAUUUUUUUCAUAAUUUGAAUCAAAGCAUGUAAUUGGGUAUAAGAAUAUAGUGUCAAAAUUUUUUUCCCAGUUUUUUUGGAAUCUUCUAGUAUUAAGAAUAGCACUCCAACAGAAGAUUGAUUGGGAUUUAUAACGAUUGCCUGUGGAAGUGUUUUUUUUUUAUUUUUUAUUUUUUUUUAAUAUUUGUAUGUGAGUUAUGCCACUACUUGUAGGAAACUCCAUCAAACUGUUGUUAGUUGGAACGUUAUAUAAUUUAUUUUAUAAAAAUACCUUUGUGUUUACCAAUCAAAAAAUACUACUGUGUUUGCUUGUACAUUUCUGUCAUAGCUUGUGAGUGUCUAGGAAUCACUAAUACCCCCUACUAAAAUGAGAUUUGUUCAAGUUACAUAUAGGGGCCCUCUUUCUUAUGGAUGAUUUAGAAAAACCUAACUGCAGGAAGAACAGUUCCUGCACAAACCAGAAUAUAGUUUUUUUUGAGAACUAUGCAAAAACAUGUAUGUUGAAUGUUUAGUGCAUUCAAUUUGUGGGUAAGAUAAUUGAAACCUUAAUAUAAGAUGUAUUAAACGUUGCCAAGAGCUUUGUAGCUCAGUGGCAAUUACUGUUCUCCUUUUUGAGGAGAAUCAGGGUUCAACCCCUCCUUCACUUAUUGUAACAAUCAAAUUAUAAAAAAUAAAAAAAUAAAAAAUAAAAAUUACCAAAAGUUAUUUGAUUGAGGUGUGAGAUUGAUUGUGUUAAGAUAAUUGUGGAUAUUUCUCAAGCUUCACAAUGAAGAUGUAAUUGCCUUUCACUUGUCAUGUGUUUUAGAGGAACAUAAUCAUAUCAUUUUGUGGGUGCUGAAUGAUUCACAAGACAUAACCUUCUUCCCAGAAAAGAAUAUAUAUGAAAAGCCAAUGAACUUUGGCUCAAAUGACACCUCCUUUCCUUGUAGGAGCAAGGUGGAGGGUGUAAAUUGCAGAUUCAAAACCCACCAAGAGCAUGUGUAACUUACCAAUUAAAAAUCAAAAGAAUGAUAUAUAUACAUGCAAGACUGCAAGAGGUUUAGUGAGAAUUGGGAAAUUUUAUGUACUUCCUUUCAGUUUUGGACAAGGGGAGAUUUUCUUUUCUUGUUACUUGUUUUCUUUUUAUAACUAAGCUUUGGUUUACCUAUUUCUUGGUCUCCUGUUAUCUUCUUUGUGGGUUCAAUUGUAUAUAUUUUGUUACACUUUACAUGAGGCUUGCCCUUUAAAAACCACAUAUUAUAUAUCAUGGAUGAACACAUUUUAUAAAGACCGCUUAUUGGAGCAAUUCUAUGUUAGCUUCUGAUUUGACAUAUAAUAUAUAGACACAGAUUAGUCAGGGGAAGGUUUUGAUCUGUUUCCCUUGAUUGUAGACGAGUCUUGGUUUAUUUAUUGCAAUCCUGUUAUACAUAGCGUAUAUCUGAAUAACCUUAGUUUUCUAUGAUCUACUAGGCAAAUGCAAUUUAUGAAGAAAUGGUUGAUCGGCUCAAGGCUAGUGGUUUAGAAAAACUUGCUCAACAACAAGUAGAUGGUGUGGUCCGUCGAAAUGAAGAUGGUGCUGAAUUUUUUAUGGAGUCAACCAUUCCCUCUAUAUGCAAGCACAGGAUCAAUGCCCAUGAAGGUGGCUGUGCUUCCAUAUUGUUUGAGUACAAUUCUGGCAAGUUGGUCAGUGGAGGGCAGGACAGGACAAUCAAGAUGUGGGAUACAAACACGGGAUCACUAAGCCAUACUCUCUAUGGUUCUCUUGGCUCUGUUCUUGAUCUUACCAUUACCCAUGACAAUAGAUCUGUCAUAGCAGCAAGCAGUUCGAACAACUUGUAUGUAUGGGAUGUCAGCUCAGGUCGGGUCCGCCAUACUCUCACUGGCCAUACUGAUAAAGUUUGUGCUGUAGAUGUAAGCAAAGUUUCGAGUCGUCAUGUUUUGAGUGCAGCUUAUGAUCGUACCAUAAAAGUUUGGGACUUGAAUAAAGGUUACUGCAUUAACACAAUCAUUUGUCACAGCAAUUGCAAUGCUCUUAG
rnacentral:sRNA from 1 species